GAGCGCACGCCGACGAGAUAAGCCGCAUGGGAAAUAGGGAAGACGGUGACACCUGGGACAUCGCUCCUGCCUGGGGGGGACCCCACAGCCCUGCUCUGCUCCUAGAGCCAAUGCUGAGAACCAGGGCUGAAGGCCAGAAACAGAAAACAGCCAAGGGAUAGCUUCUGAGGAGGCAGCUCCCUGUUUGGGAGGGAGCGCAAGAAAAGCCCACUGAGAUGGGCACCCACAACGGUACCCAAAGAAGUUGUGCCUGCCUCCCCAGCAACAAGGAAAGAAGCUCCUUUCAGUCAGACCAAUACGUGUAUAGCCUGCUGUUUUAAAUCCCUUUCACUUCAAAUACUUGCAAGUAUGCUGUUGAAAAAAGUAAAGAUUUGGUUUUAAGCAGUUUGUCUCUCAGGAUGCCCCAGCACUCAAGGUCUCUUGUCAAGAAGAGCUGUGGAUAGCAAGUCCGGCCAGGUAAGCUAAGAAUUUACCUGAGGGAUCAUCCGCAAAGUAGAAAAGAGUCCCAUUUCAGGAGAAAUGAAGGCAUUUAUAGCCUGAUACUUCAAGUGGUGCCGGAAAAACUGGCAGGGAUCAGCUCCUAGUAGCUGAUCCAGUAACCAUUUGUUCAGAAUGGUAUUUAACCAGAACAAAACAAAAAGUACUUUUAAGUUCCUUUCUCUUUCUCUUCUCUUUUUCUUUUAAUCCCUUGUGAGCUUCGGCAGUGUAACGACAUGAAAUACUUCAACACUGAUUGGCACGUUUCUGUAUUGAUUGGCUUCGCAGUCUGAUUCGAUAAGACAGGGCCAGCUAACACAAGCCACUAGAAAAAUCUUUUGGAGUAUUAUCUGCUGAGAUAAACUUGCAAAACCCCCAAGCCAGUCUAUUUAAUACGGCUUUCAUCUAGACAUAUUUUGAUAUUAGUGACAGUAUUGUGCACAAACAAAACCUGGGACACUAACAAAAGUGUUUUGUAAAAAGUGUGAUUACAGUCCUACGCAGAUAAAGAAGGCAGAGAGCCUGGACUUUAAAUCCAGAAGUAAGCUAAUGGAGGACUGACUUUAGCACUUGCCAUUCCUUACAUGUAACUCAAAUUCUCCUCCUGCCCCCCAAAAACAAAGAGGAAACUCUAGGCUAUUCUUGUUACCUUACACCACAUCACAUUAACGGUGUUACGCAUUACCGUUCCUCUUCGGAGGAGCAGCUUGAUAUGGGACACUCCUCCUUUUUACUUCAUCUUGUUGUUUUUCAGCUAUUGUACUGGAUCUGCCCAAAGUCCUCUCUCAGUUUUUACACAGUCUUUUUGGAAGUGAAAAUCUUGCUGACUCAGUAGGAGUUUUGGCCGAUUAAAACCCAAGCAAGGGAGGCAGGGCAAAGCCCAGUGUAUAUACUGCAACUUCUACCUUUUUAAUCCUGCUUUCAGCCCUGCAGUUCCAAAUUUCUGUGUUUUCCAUAGGAUGGAAAUAGCUGUUAUUGGAAGUGAUUUGGGGGCAUAUAGGACAUGAAGGGAACAUCCUGGGAUACCUGAUCUGUUGGGAGCUACAAGCUGUACAGCAUUCAUUUAAGGCAGACAUCCAGGAGAGAAUCUGGGCCAGUCCUAAGCUCAUGUAUCAACCUGAAAUAACUAAUAAGUCUAAAGAGGAAAGAAGCAGUUUGAACGAGCUGAGCACUCUAAAUUUCCUCAGCAGAGUUCACCUGGGAAAGGCAAGAAAUAUCCCUCACCCUGCUCAGACUCACACUGACAGCAGAGUAAGCCACGGGGAUGUGCCUGUAUACCAGACUAGGCAAGGGAUUUCCAGAGCGGUUACCUGUUUUAACACGAACAUUGCAGUGUGUAUUGUUAUCGUAUUUUGCUCUGUUACAGUCAUUUAUUGGGGGAGGAGGCGGAAGGCUAUUGAAUACCAGUCUCAGGAGGUGUUUCAAAGCAUCUGGCUUACACGCACACACACACAAACGUUGUCUAUCCACCCUUCUGUUCAGGCUUCUACCUAAGGAAGGGUUUAUUUUCUGAGAAGGCAACUGUUCCUUUACAGUGAUGAAAAAGGGCAAAUUAUUAGGUGUACAAGGCGGGCAGAAGCUACAGUCAGUGUUUUUUUCUUUUAGGGCUGUCACCAGACCAGUUAAGGAUCUCUCACCUAGUAUCUUCAGUUAAGCAACUCUAAAUCAUCCAAGAAAAAGCUCAGAUGGUUUCAGGCAACUUUUUCUUUUGUUCAUGCUACAGCUUGCUAUAAAAACAAAGUUUUCUGUAUACCCCACAAUCCGCUCACAAGCCCGAUGGCCCUCUUUCUGGGAUGCUGAUGUUCCCUGCAGAGCUCACACAAUAUAGUUGCUUUUUUUUUUUCCUGUAGUUGGGGUUAAGUAGCAUAUAGAUUCCUUAGACAGUAAAGCUACAGCAAAGCUGAGUGCAUUUCUACCACCUCAAAACAGGAAUCACAAGCAACAAACUGCCUGUGCAAAAGCUUCCCACACUUGGCCAGCACUGAGGUUCAGGUAGCCAAGCAGACAGGCAGAGUUUUGUUUCCAUCUGUUUCCUAACACAGCUACAAUAUACAUUCAAAGCUGCCAUUAUCUUAACAACCCGGUAAUAAAAGUUCAGCCUUCCACUCCAGUGCAAAGGCUAUCAGCUUGUUUCUGAAACUCGAAUUCACUAUAAAUCUGCCAGAGAGCUCUGCCUGGUUGUACCCCAAUGCUUAGCCUGCUUAGGAGCAGACGUCUUGCAAGAAGGGGCUGCCUAGGGAGAUUGAAGUGGGACCUUCACAGAUGAAGAUGGGAGAAGGCUGGUCUCAAGGGUGCCAAACAGCCAGUGAGGGGGCCAGACUUUAACCUCGCAUUCCCCCCUAAAGGGAAAAAUAAUGAUUCAUGUGAACUAUUUCAGACAGGUUAUCAUGUUAAAAGGAGAAAACCAAUUGGAAAUCCCAGAGAUUUGUAUCUCCACUUGGAUAUCACUUUGACUUGGAAAUAAGACCUCCUUUAUGAGACCAUGUGUAGACAAGUCACUAAGAUGAAGCUUAUCUGGGAUUUUAUCUUAAUUUUGUCUUCUCCUAUCUAGAGCACAGGCCAGUUUUUUAGGGCACACUGCCCGGACAGGGGUAAAGAAAGGAGGUAUCCAAGUGUUAAGAGGAGCUCAGAAGUCAGCAUGCGGAUUCACCCACUCAUUUUGAUGCUUUAACAGGAUCUAGGCACUUUGGAAAACCUGCAAUUGAUUGUGAGUUCUGAAUCCUUUAGAAAAAUCUGGCCUUUAAUGCUGUGUAAUUGUUGAAUGUCUUAUAAUUACCUGCAGGUUUAAAUGGUGGGUAACACACAGGCGAAGACUAAGGAUUUCCUUUGCAGCUGAACUUUGAAAGCUGCUGCAUUUUUUUCCAACGGCUUAUUUAUGUCUAAACUGCAAGGUCCAACUGGUGUCUAAAAAUCCGUCUGUUGAAGAAGCAAGACAUCACUGGAUUUUGUUUUCCUUUCAGAUCUGCAUUCUUGCCUUAAAGCAAUUAUAUUCGUUGACAUCAGAUUCAUGAGUUACUUAAUUUGGGCAUACUGGAAAAACAGAACAUAUUAGCUACUAAGUGUGCCCUUUGCAUGUGGAAAAUCAUUAAAACUUCAGAGACAUUUCAGCUCUGAUGGGAGGUGUCUUUCACUAAGUUGAAUCAAACCAUGCAUAUGAGGAAAUGUUGACAGAAUGUUGCUGAGUUGUAAAUUAUCUACAAAUGUGAAAUUGUUCUGCACUAACUGUGAUGUUGCUUAAAAUAAUAUUUACUGAUGAUUUAUCUCCUAAAGUCACAUAGAUAAUAGUUCUAUUCCUCUCCUUUCUGCUUUCUCUUUGUACAAUAAAAUAUAUUCCACGAGAACUUACGUUGUACCGGAUCUUGCCUUUUCUCAUAGUUAUCUUUUCUGUGUCUCUGUUCAUUGAUAUAUUUUAGUUCUCAUUGGUAAUAAUUAUAUUAAGAUUUCAAUAGGUUUUCUGGGUAUCUAAUAUAGCUGUCAUAUAUAUAAAAGAUGUAUGUAGUGGAGAGUAUGUAUUCUGAUUUGUAUGUGUUCUGUUUGCUACAUUCAAAUGCAGUAUUUAAAAUAGAGUACCACUGUAAAAUGCAGCUGUGUGAAAACCUGUUAUAAUAUUCCAUCUUUGCUGUUACAUUGACUUCUGGAGCUAAACUGCUUAGCUGGGAAG